rnacentral:lncRNA from 1 species
ACAACAAGUAAGAUAAAAGAAGCCGUUUCACUAAUGUCCAGAGACUGUGAGAAGCACGGCGGAGGCGGAGGAGGAACCGCCAGGAGAAUAUGCGUAGUGAUCAUCGGCUUCAUCAUCAUCGUCUCGAUAACAAUCUUCCUCGUCUGGGUAAUCCUCCAACCAAAAAAACCAAGAUUCAUCCUCCAAGACGCCACCGUCUACGCCUUCAACCUCACGCAGCCUAACCUCCUCACCUCAAACUUCCAAGUCACGCUCGUUAUACGAAACCGAAACUCCAAGAUCGGAAUCUACUACGACCGUCUUCACGUCUACGCCACUUACCGGAACCAGCAAAUCACUUACCCUACGGCGAUUCCUCCGACGUACCAAGGCCAUAAAGAAGACAGUGUUUGGUCUCCUCUUAUCUACGGAAACGCCGUCUCCGUUGCUCCUUAUAAUGCCGUCGCUUUGGGAGACGAGCAGAGUCGUGGGUUUGUUGAGUUGGUUAUACGCGCUGAUGGGCGCGUGAGGUGGAAGGUCGGGACUCUUAUUACCGGGAAGUAUCAUCUUCAUGUUCGUUGUAAUGCUUAUAUCAAUCUUGCGGAUAAAUCUAACGGAGUUAUUGUCGGAGAAAAUAUCGUUAAGUACACUGUGGACAAUCAAUGCAGUGUCAACGUUUAGAUGACGGGGGAAAGGGACACAACUCUGACGCCGUUAAGUUUGUUUUUUUCCUUAUUCACUCGUUUUUCUGCUACUCUUUGCUUCUGUAUCGUUUAAUUUGUCUACUUUAUCAUCAUCUCGUAAACUAUAUACUCGUGACAUUACAGUGUCUACUUAUACACUCAUGACAUUAUCGUUUAAUUACAUAGUUGCUAAAUUAUUCAAAAUCAAGUAUAACAACAUGAUGUACGAAUUAACUUCAUAUAUAUAUAUAUAUAAAACUUCAGAAAUAUAAUUUGAGGAGGAAACUCAUUGGAAGAGGAUAAGAAGUGGAUAAUAGGACAAAGUUUGAAGAAGAGUAAAAACAAACAAAAACCACUUUUUUUAGUUUUGAAUGUAUUAAACUUCAAUUUUACAUUUUGGUUUUUGUCCUACUUUAAUAUUUUACAUUUUGGUUUUUGUACAGAACAGUAGAUUGGACCUUUCCUCAUCUUGUUAAUCUCUGCAAGCUUUAUUUUCCUUGGUGAAAGAAUCACUACCUUUGUUAAAAAAAAUGUAACCUUACGAAAUGACGGAAUCGUGUCUAAGAUUACGCAAAUAUUUUGCAGAAUGAAAAAAUAACAAACUGAUAAAAAUAUGAAGAAAUUUUUCAUUAAGUGGAAAAGUGAGUUUUAGUUAUUUUGACAAAAAUCAACCCUUUCACAUUUUCGUUUUUGUACAGAACAGUAGAUUAGACCUUUCCUCAUCUUGCUAGUCUCUGCAAGCUUUAUUUUCCUUGGUGAAAAAAUCACUACCUUUGAUCAAAAAAAAAUGGUAACCUUUACGGAAUGACGAAAUCGUGUCUAAGAUUACGCAAAUAUUUUACCAAUCAUAAAAAUAUUUUGGAAUGAAAAAAAUAACAAACGGAUAAAAAUAUGAAGAAAUUUUUCAUUAAGUGGAAAAGUGAGUAUUAGUUGAUUAUUGACAAAAAAUCAACCCUGCCAUAUUAUUAAAUUAUAUAAUAAUACCAUUUUAAAAUUUUAAAUAAAUAGCAAUAAAUUUUGUAGUGAUAAAUAGUUAUGUUGUUAGUAAAAAUAUACUAUAACUGUGUUAUAAUAUUUUAAAAUGUCAAUCUAUUAUUAAAAAAUUAUUGAAAACACACAAAGUAAAGUAUUUUAAAUAGAUUUUAGUUACUUUUAAAUUUUGUAGUAAUUAUUUUAGUUAUUGAUAGUUUUUUUCAUUUAAUAAAGUAUUUUAAUCAGAUAAAACCACACUAAAAGUUAAAUACCAUUUACUUUAAGAAUAUUGAUUUAUGUCCACGCCUUUUGUUUCCCUACAAAUCAUAUCCACACAUUUAUGUUACAUAUAUCGAGUUAAAAACUGAUUCACAUUCACACAUGUACUAUAUUCACGUAACUUUUAGAAUGUGCAAAACCUAAAGAAAAUGUAUUACGUAGAAAAGACAAAAAUAUAUUACCUAAAUAAAUUGUUGUGACAAAAACCUAAAGAAAAUGUAUCUUCAUAUAAACGUAACCAUAGACUCAUUUUCUAAUUAGAGCAUAAGCUUAGUGUACAAACAUUUUGUAACUAUACGAGUUCUAAUUACAUAUAUAAAUACAAAGCACAUGCUUUAGCUCUCUGUCACACAUACAUCUUCUCCAUCCAUCACACAACAAGUAAGAUAAAAGACUGUUUCACUAAUGUCCAAAGACUGUGAGAAGCACGGCGGAGGAGGAACCGCCAGGAUAAUAUGCAGAGUGAUCAUCGGCUUCAUCAUCAUCGUCUUGAUAACAAUCUUCCUCGUCUGGGUAAUCCUCCAACCAACAAAACCAAGAUUCAUCCUCCAAGACGCCACCGUCUUCGCCUUCAACCUCACGCAACCCAACCUCCUCACCUCAAACUUCCAAGUCACGCUCGUUAUACGAAACCGAAACUCCAAGAUCGGAAUCUACUACGACCGCCUUCACGUCUACGCCACUUACCGGAACCAGCAAAUCACUUACCCUACGGCGAUUCCUCCGACGUACCAAGGCCAUA